GACGAACGCUGGCGGCGUGCCUAAUACAUGCAAGUCGAACGAGAGCAACCGGUGCUUGCACUGGUCAAUCUAGUGGCGAACGGGUGAGUAACACGUGGGUAACCUGCCCAUCAGAGGGGGAUAACAUCCGGAAACGGAUGCUAAAACCGCAUAGGUCUUCGAACCGCAUGGUUUGAAGAGGAAAAGAGGCGCAAGCUUCUGCUGAUGGAUGGACCCGCGGUGCAUUAGCUAGUUGGUGAGGUAACGGCUCACCAAGGCCGUGAUGCAUAGCCGACCUGAGAGGGUGAUCGGCCACAUUGGGACUGAGACACGGCUCAAACUCCUACGGGAGGCAGCAGUAGGGAAUCUUCCGCAAUGGACGCAAGUCUGACGGAGCAACGCCGCGUGAGUGAAGAAGGUUUUCGGAUCGUAAAACUCUGUUGUUAGAGAAGAACAAGUGCUAGAGUAACUGUUAGCGCCUUGACGGUAUCUAACCAGAAAGCCACGGCUAACUACGUG
rnacentral:rRNA from 1 species